CGGAGCCUCCUCCCCGCCCAGCGCCGGCCGAGCGGCGGCGGCGGCGGGCCGAGGAGGAAAGAUGGCGGCGGGCUCGGAUCUGCUGGACGAGGUCUUCUUCAACAGCGAGGUGGACGAGAAAGUGGUGAGCGACCUGGUGGGCUCGCUCGAGUCGCAGCUGGCGGCCAGCGCGGCCCACCACCACCACCUCGCGCCCCGCGCGCCCGAGGCGCGGGCCGCGGCCGCCGGCGCGCUCGGGAACCAUGUCGGAGCCGGAGCCGUGCCGGCCGAGGGCGCGCCCGCAGCGGCGCCGGAGCCGCCCCCCGCAGGGCCCGCCGCGAAGCUGAGCGCGCUCGAGGCCGGCGCGAGCGCCGCGGCCGGCGCCGGGGCCGGGGCGGGCGCCGCGGCCGGGGCCUGUGCGCCGGGGGCAGCGGCCGCGCCCGAGCCCGCCGCCAAGCCCGCCGCCCGCAACGGCCCGCCCGGCGGCCCCGGCGCCGCGCAAACUUUGAAUGGGAGCGCCGCGUUGGGGAACUCGCUCCGCGCCGCCGCCGCACCUGCUGUCAGCCUGCUCCACAACGGGCCCGCGCCCGCGCCGCCGCCGCCCAAGCCCGCCGCCGCCACUGUCAUCCAGACGCCGCCCUUCCUCGGCGCCCCCCCCGCGCCCGCGCCCCGCGCCCCCUCGCCCCCCGCGCCCGCCACGCCCGCCGCGCCCCCCGCGCCCGCCGCCGCUGCCCCGCCGCCGGCGCCGCCCGCCGCCGCCAGCCUGGCCCGGCCGCCCGGUCCCCCGGCCGGACCCCCGGUGGCCGCGCAGAACGGGGGCAGCGCCGCGCCCGCCCCCGCGCCCGCCCCCGCGCCCGCCCCGGCCCCAGCGCCCGUUUCUGCCCCGGCGCCCGCCGCCAACAGUCAGCCAGGGCCCGCCGCCGCGCCCGCGCAGGUGGCCAAGGCCGACUCGCCCAAGACUGCGCUGCAGCCGGCGCCCCCGCCGCCGCAGACCCUGGCGGCCAGCUGCCCGGCCGGCGCGGGGGCCGGCAUGAUCCUCGGGCCAACUAUGCAAGGGGCUCUGCCCGCCGCCGCCGGCCUCCCACCGCCGGCCCCCGGUACCCCCACCGGGCUGCCCAAGGGCUCGACCAGCGCGGUGACCCAGAGCCUGCCCAGGACGCCCUCGGCCACCACCGGCGGGAUCCGGGCCACGCUGACGCCCACGGUCCUCGCCCCACGCCUGCCGCAGCCGCCGCAGAACCCGACCAACAUCCAGAACUUCCAGCUGCCCCCAGGUAUGGUCCUCGUGCGGAGCGAGAACGGGCAGCUGUUAAUGAUUCCUCAGCAGGCCCUGGCCCAGAUGCAGGCCCAGGCCCACGCCCAGGCCCAGCCUCAGACCGCCAUGGCGCCCCGCCCGGCCACGCCCACAAGUGCCCCUCCCGUGCAGAUCUCCACCGUGCAGGCACCUGGGACCCCCAUUAUUGCACGGCAGGUGACCCCAACGACCAUAAUCAAGCAAGUGUCUCAGGCCCAGACGACGGUACAGCCCAGCACCGCGCUGCAGCGCUCUCCCGGGGUUCAGCCUCAGCUUGUUCUGGGUGGCGCUGCCCAGACACCCUCACUUGGGACGGCGACAGCUGUUCAGACGGGGACACCUCAGCGAACGGUCCCGGGGGCCACCACCACCUCCACAGCCGCCACGGAAACUAUGGAGAAUGUGAAGAAAUGUAAAAAUUUUUUAUCUACGCUAAUAAAACUGGCUUCAUCUGGUAAACAGUCUACAGAGACAGCCGCUAACGUGAAAGAACUGGUACAGAAUCUGCUGGACGGAAAAAUUGAAGCAGAAGAUUUCACUAGUAGGUUAUACCGAGAACUUAAUUCUUCACCUCAACCCUACCUUGUGCCUUUCCUGAAGAGGAGCUUGCCCGCCUUGAGACAGCUGACCCCCGACUCCGCGGCCUUCAUCCAGCAGAGUCAGCAGCAGCCGCCACCGGCCUCGCAGGCCACCACCGCACUCACGGCUGUGGUGCUCAGCAGCUCGGUGCAGCGCACGGCUGGGAAGACGGCGGCCACCGUGACCAGUGCCCUCCAGCCCCCUGUCAUCAGCCUCGCACAGCCCACGCCGGUGGGCGUCGGCAAGCAGGGGCAGCCCACGCCGCUGGUGAUCCAGCCGCCGCCCAAGCCUGGAGCGCUGAUCCGGCCGCCGCAGGUGACGCUGACACAGACGCCCAUGGUGGCGCUCCGGCAGCCCCACAACCGCAUCGUGCUCACCACGCCCCAGCAGAUCCAGCUGAACCAGCUGCAGCCAGUCCCUGUGGUGAAACCUGCCGUGUUACCUGGAACCAAAGCUCUUUCUACUGUCUCAGCACAAGCAGCUGCUGCACAGAAAAACAAGCUCAAGGAGCCCGGGGGAGGCUCGUUUAGGGACGACGAUGACAUCAAUGACGUAGCGUCGAUGGCCGGCGUGAACCUGUCGGAAGAAAGUGCGAGAAUAUUGGCUACGAACUCUGAGUUAGUGGGCACCCUGACGCGGUCCUGCAAAGACGAGACCUUCCUCCUCCCGGCGCCUCUGCAAAGAAGAAUAUUGGAAAUAGGUAAGAAACACGGCAUAACAGAGUUACACCCAGACGUGGUGAGUUACGUGUCACACGCCACGCAACAGAGGCUGCAGAACCUUGUAGAAAAGAUAUCAGAAACGGCUCAGCAAAAGAACUUCUCUUAUAAGGAUGAUGACAGAUACGAGCAGGCAAGUGAUGUCCGGGCUCAGCUCAAAUUUUUUGAACAGCUUGAUCAAAUUGAGAAACAGAGAAAGGACGAACAGGAGAGAGAGAUCUUGAUGCGGGCAGCAAAGUCUCGGUCCAGACAAGAAGAUCCAGAGCAGUUAAGGUUGAAACAGAAGGCAAAGGAGAUGCAGCAACAAGAACUGGCACAGAUGAGGCAGCGAGAUGCCAACCUCACAGCACUGGCUGCCAUCGGGCCCAGGAAAAAGAGGAAAGUGGACUCUCCGGCACCGGGAUCGGGAGUAGAGGUUGGUUGUGGUGUUUUUGACAGUGGAAAGAUUGCCUUCAAAGGAGAUACCAGCCUCCUUUCAUGAAUCCUCUCAGCAGUCCUGUGACAGGACGUGAUGAAUGGUCACACAGCACUUUCAGGGAGGAAGCUGGCCUCCGGGAGAAUGUAAACCGUGUGUCCACGGUCGCUUUGUUUCAACCCCAGUGCCUGCAAAUACAAAACAAAACACACCGAUCAGCCUCUCUGCUGGAGCGUGAGUGUUGUUGGAGGUGGACGCCGGCACCUGCCCCGCGGUUUUCUGUCAUCUGAGGUCACUGCUGGUCGCUCAGCUGCCGUGCCCGAGGGCCGCUUCCCCAGGCUUCCCGCAUGGGGCUCUGGGCCGGACCGGGCCUCGCGCCCGCAGGCUGGGCGCUGGGUUCCUGUGACCGCCUUCUGGCCAGGACACCCCAAGGGCAGUACGAUCAAAGGACGGCACUCACCCCAUGAAAUCAGAAGUCAUUUGAGUUGUCAAGUAGGAUGCCUCUGAGCACAUAGGCUUCUUAUUCAAGUCCGUAGAACAGUGACGCAUGGCAGCGUCGUGACCUUUGGAGCCUGAGACGUGCGGAGUGGGGCCGGUGUGGUCCCGGCCCCGGAGCCCUGGCUGUGGGCUGUGCUAACGCUUGCCUGUCCGGAUUGUUUGGAAGCACUGCUGACUUCUGAAAAAGAUCUCAUUAAAAUAUUACUGGCAGGGAUUGCUUGAGUUUCAGCUUUAAAUGCUGUGCCUGAAGGGAGCCCUCACCCCUGUCCCAGCUGGGUUUGGCCGUUGAACUGUUUUGAAAGUAAGAACAUCACACGUGGCCCAGAGUUGUAGCGAGUGUCACAGAAGACACCUGGCCCGUGGUUGAGGGAGCGCUUCGCUCUCCACGAGCCCCAAGGUCUGGCGCCGCCCUGUCUGUCCCGGGCGGGGAGGAGCUCCCACCCGCCUGACGGCCCGCCGGCCCCGCCCCAGCCGUCUGGCCAGGCGCUGGCCUCGGCUUGGCCUGCAGGCUCCCCCGCGGUGCAGAGGCUUCACACCCACAGGGCCCCCGGCGCAGGCCACUCCGGCCGCGGAGACGGAACCCCGUUUUCCUCCUGGCUCCUCUAAACUGUGUGCUUUCAUCACCCCCUUUUCAGGGCGGUUUGUCUUGUUCACAAAAUGCUCCUUUAGGGCCGUUACGGAGACUCAGGGGAAACUGCCAGGAAAACCUAAAUAGUUGUUCAAACACGGAAAAGUGUCACCAGAGGACCGGCCUGGAGGAGGGACCCCGGUGGUUUAGGGGUGUCUGAAGGGGGCGUAAAGAACACGCGGUUCACGGUGGAAGGUGGAAGAAGGGCGUGCGUGCCCUGAGCUGCCCUGAGUGCCCAGGAGGGACCAGCCUCACCUGCCACCUGCUGGCUGCUUGCUGUGCUGCCGCUUCCUCCAGCAUCCUAGGGCUCAUCGCUCCCACCUUAAACUUCGAGAGAACGCUGUAAAAAUACCACUGUAAGGUUUGCGCUUCAAAUAUACAAGAGCGACUUUAACCAUCAGAAUACAGACACUCAGUGUUCAUUCCGAGUGGAAAACCGAGGACUGUCCGAUUGGGAGUUGCGUGGUUCAUGCCUGCGAGUGUCGGUUGGAGGUGGUGACAUGCUGAAACCACGGGACGCUGCUGCUGAGGGGCGGCGACGCGGCAGGAGAGCGCCCGGAAACCCGCCUGUGCCAAGCGGGCAGGCAUCAGAGCCCCAGCCGUCGCCCGGAUCCCCCGCGGGCCGACCAGGCUGGGCGCCGAGCGGUACAGACCGGCAGAACCGCCGCUGUCAGCCCGGGGAAGCAGGGAGCCCCCUCCAGGCCAUGGACGACGUGGUGACUGUGGAGCCCUCGGCGCAGCCAGCCGCCCACCGCCAGCCCGCCCAGCCCAGGAGUCUAGACCUUGCGGCCUUGGGAAGUGUGCCUUUGCCGGCGAAGCGGGGAUGUCACGGCCGCCGCGGGCACAGCAUCAGCACACCUGAGUCCCUGGACGCCUGGAGGUCGGGGACGCCAGCCACAAGCCCUGGAGCUGUUCUGCCGUCCCCUUGGGGCAGGAGCCGCCACCUUUUCCUUCCUCGUGCCCCAGGGGCCAGAGUCUGAGCUCUGGGGGGAAUCUCGGGGGCUCGGGCCCAGGCUCAGCGGUCCCAGGCAGUUCCGGCGUCGGAACCCCCAGACAGUUCACGCGACAAAGGAUCACGCGGGUCAACCUCAGGGACCUCAUAUUUUGUUUAGAAAAUGAACGUGAGACAAGCCAUUCACUGUUGCUCUACAAAGCAUUCCUUAAG